CCGCGUGGCCUCUUUGUCCCCGUCAGCCCGAGGCGGCGCUGGUGCCCACCCGGCCUCCCCGCGGCCCAGCCCCGCGCCUCCGCCACAGGCCGCAAGCAUUCUCCUCUUCCAGAGGGGCCUCUUUAACGGCUCCCCAAGAAAUAAUCAUUCAUUAUGUCACCAGAAGGGAAGAAAGGGAGUAUUUUGUGAAGCUGUCCCAUUCAAAGCCACCCCGGAGGCCCCAAGGAGACCACAAAGCUGCGAACGCUGCCGGGACUUGCCGGCUGAGACACUGGAAAGUCAACCCGAUUCAGGGAAACACUUUCAAAGACUGUUUUUUCUUGGCCAGAUAACAUUCCAUUUUGUUUUCGAGCGGCAAGGACAAUCUCUAGUUCGAUUGUAAAACUAUUCCUUCAAAUGUACAUUUUUAUCUAUGGAGAGUGGUGUUAAUGGGGGUUUUCAAACCUAAGUUGACGUUUGGCAUCGUAAUUGUUCCCAUUUACAACUACCAGUCAUCCUCCUGCUCCUUGCUAGAGACACUGUUCAUGUCUAUGAAAUGAGGGCAAGGAUAGUCUAGAUCCUAAGAAGAAUCAUACGGCCUUCUUUUGUUCCGUCAAUGACAGGUUCCCCAUUGCUUCAAGAGCUGCUCAAAAAGGAACUGAUUCUUCUUAAAAUGCAUUGCCACGUUAUCUCCAGCGCUGGCUUUCUGACUUCCCGGCGGGUCUCGGAAAGGAGGAAGUAACCCAGUUUCUUAAGGAAAAAUGAGAGGUAAACAUCACAACAGAAUUCUAAUGACACUGCAACAACACCAGGUAAUUCUUACUGAAUAAUCAAUUACCCAGAAGUCUCCCUGGCAGAUGCUAAUCAUCACCUACCUUGCUCAAAUUUUACUCUUCUACUUCUUGGUAGCAUUACAAACAAGCAACAACAACAACAAUAAAAACCAGGAAUCAGAAAAUGCUGGUGAUAAUAACAAGAAAGAAUAGUUGGACCAUGUGUUUGACUUAGGAUUUCUUGCCUGUUUCCAUUCAAACCUGGAAUCCCAGCACCAAUAUAUGAGUUGUGUUUUGUUCCUAAGGGCCAAGUACUCUAACCUUGUUAUGUACAUAGCUUUUCAAGUGUUUCACAAUAUACCUAGUCUGUAUAACUUUGUCUCAUUGGUGGCAGUCACCUUUCUGCUACCACACACAGAGAGACCAGAUACUUUCCAUUAUUUUAGACCUGCUUGAUAUAAUCCUUUAAAAGUAAGAAAACUAGAACUUACUUUUUGGUCAGUUCUGCACCAUAUUUUCCCUGCAUUGCUCACACUAGUUCAUUAUGGGAAGGCUUUUCCCCUGACUCCUAGGUGGUCUGCAUUGGGGUCUUCAAAAUAAAAGAGCAUGGCAGGAAGAGUGCACAGCAUUUCUGAAGAGAAGAAACAUACAAAUAACUCAAUAAGCUCUGAAAAUUUAUUUUUAAAAUGGUGAAGUUUUGAAUCUACAUACUUGACAGCUAUGCCGGGGACAUUCAGUGGCAUCAAUCUCCUGAGAUUACUUUCAUAACAGAAAGAGAGAUCUCUUAUUUGGAGCAGCUCAUAGGACCAACUGGAUGCCACCUGGUAUUUGGAAAGGAACAUGGAGCUGUGGGCUGAAUGGUUUGAAUUACAAUACGUACAAUCUGAGCAGCUUUCUCUAGGAUGGACCCAACAAACUUAUACUACAAAACAAAUUCUAUCCAAAACAAGAAUAUAAUAAAACGGAAAACUAAAAUGGGAUUCUCAAUAGGAAGCUGGAAGCCAGGACAUGUUUUCCACCAUAAGGAAAGGACUCUGAAUAUCGAAGUCUGCAGAGAGUAAAAUUAGCCACCAGGAUUCCUCUCAGUUACAGGUCCACUCCACGCUGCCCCACACCCAAAUCCCCUCCAGCUCCAUUUCUCUCUAGGUCCAGCUGGAACUUCUCUUGCUGGUUCACAUCUCAGUGAGUGAUAGGGCGAAAGGAACGUGUUCCUCUUCCCUGACACCAUGGUGUUCCUGACAGUAGCAAAGACAGUGUCUCAUCUUGUCUAUCUUGCUGCUCCUUCACUGUGCAAUUCGCAAAAUAGGCUCUGCACAAAUCACCUGUGGGGAUCAACAAGUGAAGUCCCAUUA